UACGGAGGGUGCAAGCGUUAAUCGGAAUUACUGGGCGUAAAGCGUGCGCAGGCGGUUUGUUAAGUCUGCUGUGAAAUCCCCGAGCUCAACUUGGGAAUUGCAGUGGAUACUGGCAGGCUGGAGUAUGGUAGAGGAAGGUGGAACUCCCGGUGUAGCAGUGAAAUGCGUAGAGAUCGGGAGGAACACCAGUGGCGAAGGCGGCCUUCUGGACCAAUACUGACGCUCAUGCACGAAAGCGUGGGGAGCAAACAGG
rnacentral:rRNA from 1 species